rnacentral:rRNA from 1 species
GACGAAGAUGGCGAGCGUUGUUCGGAAUCACUGGGCAUAAAGCGCACGUAGGCGGUGCCGUAAGUCGGAUGUGAAAUCCCUCGGCCUAACCGAGGAACUGCGUCCGAUACUGCGGUGCUUGAGGAUCAGAGGGGUGCAUGGAAUUUCCGGUGGAGCAGUGAAAUGCGUUGAUAUCGGAAGGAACUCCGGCGGCGAAAGCGAUGCACUGGCUGAUUUCUGACGCUGAGGUGCGAAAGCCAGGGGAGCAAACGGG